rnacentral:lncRNA from 1 species
GAAGGGCAAAAUGGUCAAGAAAAUAAUUUGAAAUAAUAAUAAUAAUACAAAAAUUAAGUAAAAAUUAAAUGGAGAAAAAUAAAAUCAAGAGUUAAUUAAAAGAUGGUUAAAAUAAAAAUAGAAAAAAUAUGAACAAAGAAAAAUAAAUAAAAUAAAAUGAAAUGAAAUAAAAAAUAGAGAGGGGGUGUGAGAUCCAAAUAGGAUCUGCCAAAUGAAACGGGCACAAGGACCAUUGGCC